UACGUAGGUGGCGAGCGUUAUCCGGAAUUACUGGGCGUAAAGGGUGUGUAGGCGGGACUGCAAGUCAGAUGUGAAAUGUACGGGCUCAACCCGUGAACUGCAUUUGAAACUGUAGUUCUUGAGGAUCGGAGGGGUGACUGGAAUUCCCAGUGUAGCGGUGAAAUGCGUAGAUAUUGGGAGGAACACCGGCGGCGAAGGCGGGUCACUGGACGAUUACUGACGCUGAGACACGAAAGUGUGGGGAG
rnacentral:rRNA from 1 species